rnacentral:tRNA from 3 species
GCAGUCGUGGCCGAGUGGCUAAGGCGAUGGACUAGAAAUCCAUUGGGGUCUCCCCGCACAGGUUCGAAUCCUGUCGACUGCG